rnacentral:misc_RNA from 1 species
AUUUAUCAGAAUUAUGAUAUUCUCUAGAUCAAACUGGGUCAACCGUAUUGAACUGCCUAAUCAUGCCACCCGUAGCCGGUUCGACUUGCGUUUGGCGCACUCUUAUUCGUUCUCCCUGGUCUGGUUUCAAACAAUCUAAACACAUGCGCAAGAUACGCCCUAAUAACAUUUUAGCUGGACUUUCUCCGGUUGUGUAAUGUGGUGUGUUCCUAUAAGCUAGUAAGAAACGACAUAACGCGGCAUGUACAUCUACUUUUGCCUUAAAAGCUUUUUUAAUGGUUCUCUUACAUAUUUUACCGCAUUUUCCGCGGCUCCGUUAGAAGCCGGAUGAUAAGGAGCCGAAAAAAAAAUGAUCGCUUCUAUUAUUAUUUAAAUAUUCUUUAUAUUUUACCGCAUUUUCCG